rnacentral:rRNA from 1 species
AUUGAACGCUGGCGGCAGGCCUAACACAUGCAAGUCGAACGGUAACAGGAAGAAGCUUGCUUCUUUGCUGACGAGUGGCGGACGGGUGAGUCAUGUCUGGGAAACUGCCUGAUGGAGGGGGAUAACUACUGGAAACGGUAGCUAAUACCGCAUAACGUCGCAAGACCAAAGAGGGGGACCUUCGGGCCUCUUGCCAUCGGAUGUGCCCAGAUGGGAUUAGCUAGUAGGUGGGGUAACGGCUCACCUAGGCGACGAUCCCUAGCUGGUCUGAGAGGAUGACCAGCCACACUGGAACUGAGACACGGUCCAGACUCCUACGGGAGGCAGCAGUGGGGAAUAUUGCACAAUGGGCGCAAGCCUGAUGCAGCCAUGCCGCGUGUAUGAAGAAGGCCUUCGGGUUGUAAAGUACUUUCAGCGGGGAGGAAGGGAGUAAAGUUAAUACCUUUACUCAUUGACGUUACCCGCAGAAGAAGCACCGGCUAACUCCGUG